GACCCGCGUCUGAUUAGCUAGUUGGUAAGGUAACGGCUUACCAAGGCGACGAUCAGUAGCCGACCUGAGAGGGUGAUCGGCCACAUUGGAACUGAGACACGGUCCAAACUCCUACGGGAGGCAGCAGUGGGGAAUAUUGCACAAUGGGCGAAAGCCUGAUGCAGCAACGCCGCGUGAGUGAUGAAGGCCUUCGGGUCGUAAAACUCUGUCCUCAAGGAAGAUAAUGACGGUACUUGAGGAGGAAGCCCCGGCUAACUACGUGCCAGCAGCCGCGGUAAUACGUAGGGGGCUAGCGUUAUCCGGA
rnacentral:rRNA from 1 species